UACGUAGGGUGCGAGCGUUGUCCGGAAUUAUUGGGCGUAAAGAGCUCGUAGGCGGUCUGUCGCGUCUGCUGUGAAAACCCGAGGCUCAACCUCGGGCCUGCAGUGGGUACGGGCAGACUAGAGUGCGGUAGGGGAGAAUGGAAUUCCUGGUGUAGCGGUGGAAUGCGCAGAUAUCAGGAGGAACACCGGUGGCGAAGGCGGGUCUCUGGGCCGAUACUGACGCUGAGGAGCGAAGGCGUGGGGAGCGAACAGG
rnacentral:rRNA from 1 species